UAUAUUGUAGCUGUUGGAUGGGACAGAAGAAUAAACGUGUACUUUGACUCCACAGAGGAGCUUCAUCGUGUUCAGAAACCUCAGCCCUUUUGGCAGGAUGAUAUAAACCAGGGUCAUAAAGAAGAUAUCUUGUGUGUUGCUCAUUGUCCACCAGCUCUGCUUGCCACGGCUAGUUAUGAUGGGGAAAUUAUAGUUU